rnacentral:rRNA from 1 species
UGACGGUACCCAAAGAAUAAGCACCGGCUAACUUCGUGCCAGCAGCCGCGGUAAUACGAAGGGUGCAAGCGUUACUCGGAAUUACUGGGCGUAAAGCGUGCGUAGGUGGUUGUUUAAGUCUGYYGUGAAAGCCCUGGGCUCAACCUGGGAAUKGCRRUGGAAACUGGGCGACUAGAGUGUGGCAGAGGGUAGUGGAAUUCCUGGUGUAGCAGUGAAAUGCGUAGAGAUCAGGAGGAACAUCCGUGGCGAAGGCGACUGCCUGGGCCAACACUGACACUGAGGCACGAAAGCGURGGGAGCAAACAGGAUUAGAUACCCUGGUAGUCCACGCCCUAAACGAUGCGAACUGGAUGUUGGGUGCAAUUUGGCACGCAGUAUCGAAGCUAACGCGUUAAGUUCGCCGCCUG